GGUUGUACACCAUGUAAAACGUCAGCAAUGUUCUUUACCGAAAAUCUGAAUUAUUGCCGUGCUUGUCAUACCUCUCCUAUUAGAAAAAAAUCAUCUGAUGCCGCCAUAUACUCAGACUCAGACUUGUCAGACGUAAGGCAAAUGGAUCCGGAUGCAGAAUACUUGACCAUGAUGAUAGAAAGUACUAAUGACUUGUUAGUUGAUGUACUUAGGUUAUUACAGUUCGAAAAGGAACAACUGGAAAGGAUAGAAAGCAAAUCUGAUAUCAUGACAGAUGACGAGCGAAGAAAAGAAGAAAGUGAAAGGCAAAAACUGCUCAUCUUGAGUAAUAUGCUGAGACAGUAACAUUUAUGUACAGGGAACAAGCCCAGACCCAAGACGCUACCAUUGGCAGAAUGCGAUGACGUCAUCAUCAAGUUCACCGUCAAUCAAUGCCCAGGAACAGCACUCUAUAUUGUAGAUAGAAUUAGUAGUUAGCAUUUGAAAAAAAAAGUUGUAUACAUUUGUAAAUCGACUAUUCUCUUCAACGAGUAUUGUUGCAGAAAAUUCUUUCGGGUUAUUCCCCCCCCGAGCAGUCAUGUGGAUGAUCGAACAAGGUGUAAAUUGAUAACAGUUUAUUUCUUUGACUUUGUUUUAUUGUAUUCCCCUCUGGUAUGCCGAGAAAGUAAAUUAUUCUGAAAUAACAUACAAACUAAAAUCCAAUUGAUAUGCGCAGUGGAAAUGAUUCGAGAACCAUAUUCCGCACACUUAGAUAAUCAAAAUAACUUAUUUUCCUUAGUGUAAUGUUUCCAGGGGUGGGGGAAGAUGUAUAUAUAAAUCACGGUGGUGUUCGUGCUGUUCACAAUGUGAAUAUUUAGGUAAGUGGAACUCCAUUCAAGUUAAGUUUGAAUGGGAAUUUAAACCUCACUUUCACCUGUAAUUUACGAUUAAUCGGGACGCUAUGUUAAAAAGCUGAUAAUAUUGACCCUGAUAAAAAGGGGUAUAUAAUGGAAUAACCAACAGAAUUAUGAUUUGAAUUUGAAAUUGCUUUAAAUUACAAUGUGUGACCCCUCCCACCAGGGUUUGUAGUAAUCAAAGAAAAUAAGAUUAUUGUUUUUCUUGUAUUCAAGACAAUGUUCACAGACACUAUAUGUUUUGAUUAUGAUUUUCGAAAUAGUUAUUUUGCCAAAAGAAUUGUGAUAAAAAUUUGAGAUUUAUAUAUAAAAAUAAAAGGCAAAGGAAAUAUAUGGAAAGUCAUUAAAACAGCGCUCCUGUUAAAUAUGAGUGCAGGGUAAACUAAUGAUGUACUUGAAUUAGAUAUACCACAUACAGCGUUCCAUACGUCUUUUGAGUGUGUGUGAUAGUGAAAGUAGUAUCAUAUAGCUAACCAGUUGGUAUUCUUUGAUAUCACCUUGAUAAAAAUCUAUAUCACUUGAAAAAAGUAGAGUAGUCUUUUUUCUUGAGCCUCCAUUUUUGGCCUCAAUCGUGAGGAGUGAUUCAUAAAAAGGCUAGUCGGGUGUUUCAAAGUAUGUUUUAUCAUACAGUUACCAUAGUAACUAUGCUACUCAGUCAAACGAAAUCACUUGUAUAAGUUAUACCAGCAAUUUUCUCGCCAGUUCAUUUGAAACUGAUAGAGUUCUGGACAAAUGAGUGGUCCAAUACCAAUAAUUUAGAAGAAAAUAUAUAAAUAGAUCCCAUUUGCAUCCCCGCGAGCACCUGCAUAUUUUCAUUAAACCUGGUAAAGGCAUACACAUCAAAAAAUGUCAUGAAUACCUUAGUAAAUUACUGAUACUUAAUGUCAUGAUCAAUGACUUCUCAGUAUCUCACUUCCAAUAAAUUGUGAUAAAUAAUAACUCUGCCAAUGAUAGUUGAGUUUCAUAGAGACAACUCUGCCCAACAGUCAAUAUAGAGAGCAUUUCUGAAAUAAAAUAAAGAAAGGAUCAUGUGUAUUUUUCGAAAUAUUUGUGAAAAUGUGCAACUUUUACCCCUCCUUUCAAUGAGUUACGCAAUUCAUAUAAUGUGCACACACCCCUUAACUGGCCAAUCGGGGGGGGGGGGGUACCCACUACAACCAUUAGAAAUGAAUGUACUUUUUCUUCUACCAGUACGAAAUCUACUCCUAUUACCAUGGACCUUGUAGUAGGUCCAUAUCCUAUUACUAUAUAAUCCUACAGUCCUAUUAUUACUACUACUGCUGCUGCAGCAGCUCACCAUCAUCACCCCUACACCACUACUGCGACCACCACCAUCUACCACCAGUCUAC